rnacentral:rRNA from 1 species
UGGGGAAUUUUGGACAAUGGGCGAAAGCCUGAUCCAGCAAUGCCGCGUGUGUGAAGAAGGCCUUCGGGUUGUAAAGCACUUUUGUCCGGAAAGAAAUCCUUGGCUCUAAUACAGUCGGGGGAUGACGGUACCGGAAGAAUAAGCACCGGCUAACUACGUGCCAGCAGCCGCGGUAAUACGUAGGGUGCAAGCGUUAAUCGGAAUUACUGGGCGUAAAGCGUGCGCAGGCGGUUUGCUAAGACCGAUGUGAAAUCCCCGGGCUCAACCUGGGAACUGCAUUGGUGACUGGCAGGCUAGAGUAUGGCAGAGGGGGGUAGAAUUCCACGUGUAGCAGUGAAAUGCGUAGAGAUGUGGAGGAAUACCGAUGGCGAAGGCAGCCCCCUGGGCCAAUACUGACGCUCAUGCACGAAAGCGUGGGGAGCAAACAGGAUUAGAUACCCUGGUAGUCCACGCCCUAAACGAUGUCAACUAGUUGUUGGGGAUUCAUUUCCUUAGUAACGUAGCUAACGCGUGAAGUUGACCGCCUGGGGAGCACGGUCGCAAGAUUAAAACUUAAAUGAAUUGACGGGGUCAUAGCUG